CCAACCUGCGAUUGCAGCUGUGUAUCAAGGAUUGGCCUCUUUAGUCACACAAGAAGUUGCAAAGGGAAAAGAUCGUCUCUCGAGACGUAAAAUGCCACAGACUUACAGCAAGAAUUAGCUCGGGGAUUUAAAAGUGCGGGGCCUACUGCGACCGCAUAGAAUGCAAUGACCUAAGGCCGGCCCUGCUUUAUGGAAAAAAAAGUUUUUUUUUUAUUUCGCUUGUUUAUAUAAAAUCAGAAACUGUGAACUGCUUGUAUGUG